GAUGAACGCUGGCGGCGUGCUUAACACAUGCAAGUCGAACGAGAAGUGAAGACGGAAACCUUCGGGCGGAAGGCUUUAUUUCGAGUGGCGGACGGGUGAGUAACGCGUGGGUAACCUGCCUCAUACAGGGGGAUAACAGUUGGAAACGACUGUUAAUACCGCAUAAGACCACAGCACCGCAUGGUGCGGGGGUAAAAACUCCGGUGGUAUGAGAUGGACCCGCGUUCGAUUAGCCAGUUGGCGGGGUAACGGCCCACCAAAGCGACGAUCGAUAGCCGAUCUGAGAGGAUGACCGGCCACAUUGGGACUGAGACACGGCCCGAACUCCUACGGGAGGCAGCAGUGGGGAAUAUUGCACGAUGGGGGAAACCCUGAUGCAGCGACGCCGCGUGAGUGAAGAAGUAUUUCGGUAUGUAAAGCUCUAUCAGCAGGGAAGAAAAUGACGGUACCUGAGUAAGAAGCCCCGGCUAACUACGUG
rnacentral:rRNA from 1 species